GCCGAAGUGGUGGAACUGGCAGACGCGCUGGACUCAAAAUCCAGUGGUACUUUGUACCAUGAGGGUUCGAGCCCCUCCUUCGGCACCA
rnacentral:tRNA from 1 species